rnacentral:lncRNA from 1 species
AGCAACUCUGUCACAGUUCUUUGACAACUAUUUUGAUGUUAGACAGAUAUGGUUAUUUCUCUCUGCUCUUCAUUCUGAUUUCUUAUGAAGAAAUCCCUGAUAUUUCAGGGAGGUUUAAAACUGCAUAGAUAUAAGUGCUGUGAAACAGAGUAGAUGGUGAAAUAAGCAUCAUAUUUUCCUUUAUAUUUAAAAUACAUUCACAGAGAGUGUUUGUUGUUUCAUUUGUUUGUUUGUAUGUUUGUUUCUCCAAGGUAAAUAUUGUGCUGGGGUUUUUGUUUGUGUGUUUGGUUUUGUUUUUUAUAUAUAAAUAUUAACAUUCUGUGCAAGCGUUCAGCAAUGGGCACAGCCUUGGGCCACACGUUGGGAGCAAGGCACUGCUUCUUCUUGUCGUGCCGAAGAUGACUCUGCCAGACCGCAAACCAAGGAGCACAGCACGAGAGCCUUGGUCUUGUCAUCAUGGUACAGAUGUGCUUACUGGAUGAAGCACAUACCAAUGUAUGCUCAGGAAGGACCUGUCUCAACUAUGCUUUACAAAACUGCAACAGAUAUGGUCCUAAUUUCUUCUUUCAGUUCUUGGUCCAAGUAGAAAUAAGAAAAAUUACAUCACUUACAAGAAUGGCACUGUUGAUAAACAGAACCAAGUAUUAAUGUUGCUGAAGAAUGAGUUAAUUUCAGCCUCCCUGUCAGAAUGCUACACCAGACUUCUUCAACAAGUCUUGGAAUGGAAAGCAUCAUUACAAGGUGAUCAGUGCUGCAGACAAAUGUCCUUCCCUCUCUGAUUGGGAUUAUCUGUUCAGCAGGCUUAGCUGGAAAUAUCCUCAUUGUGUUCACAAUAAUAAUGUAUAGAACUGAGUACAUUUGGUAAAAUGACUUAUUGCUGAACAAAAUAAACAAUGACCACACUAAUGGAGUGAAUUGCUG